AUUGAACGCUGGCGGCAUGCCUUACACAUGCAAGUCGAACGGUAGAGGGGCAACCCUCGAGAGUGGCGAACGGGUGAGUAAUGCAUCGGAACGUACCCAGUUGUGGGGGAUAGCUCGGCGAAAGCCGGAUUAAUACCGCAUACGCACUGAGGUGGAAAGCGGGGGACUCGCAAGGGCCUCGCGUAAUUGGAGCGGCCGAUGUCAGAUUAGCUAGUUGGUGGGGUAAAGGCCUACCAAGGCGACGAUCUGUAGCUGGUCUGAGAGGAUGACCAGCCACACUGGGACUGAGACACGGCCCAGACUCCUACGGGAGGCAGCAGUGGGGAAUUUUGGACAAUGGGCGCAAGCCUGAUCCAGCCAUGCCGCGUGCGGGAAGAAGGCCUUCGGGUUGUAAACCGCUUUUGUCAGGGAAGAAAUCCUUUGAGCCAAUACCUCGGAGGGAUGACGGUACCUGAAGAAUAAGCACCGGCUAACUACAUGCCAGCCGCCGCCGUAACAC
rnacentral:rRNA from 1 species